rnacentral:rRNA from 1 species
GUCCACGCCCUAAACGAUGGAUACUCGACAUACGCGAUACACAGUGUGUGUCUGAGCGAAAGCAUUAAGUAUCCCACCUGGGAAGUACGACCGCAAGGUUGAAACUCAAAGGAAUUGACGGGGUCCGCACAAGCGGUGGAGCAUGUGGUUUAAUUCGAUGAUACGCGAGGAACCUUACCUGGGCUAGAAUGCUGGUGGACGGUGGGUGAAAGCUCACUUUGUAGCAAUACACCGCCAGUAAGGUGCUGCAUGGCUGUCGU